UCAUUUUCCAGGGACUGCAUAUUGGUCACCCGGAUUAGGGUAGUUUUUAGAUCAACUUGGUUUGGUUUUCUGGGCAGGGUUUCUCCACUAAAGUUGUGCCAUUAUGUGUCUAGUUUCAUGUCCAAUUGGCCUUGCACCAAUUGAACUUACACAACUCCAGUUAUAGCUAUCCAAAGCUGCUGAACUCACACCCAGCCCUGCAGGUCACCAAGGACAGCAUGCCUAACCUCAAUUCCAUUGUCCUAAAUCACUUCAAUACCUCCUCACAUGUAGUCAAAUGAUCACUAAUUGACCAUUACAAUGUUCAUAUACCAUUACAUAAGCAAACCCAAAUUUUGUUCAAGUCUCCAAGUUCUCAAAGUUCAAUUUAUGCAUUAAACUUACA
rnacentral:misc_RNA from 1 species